UGUAAUAUACUUGUCUAAUCAGUGUUAUUAAUAUGAUAAAUAUGCAUUUAAAUACAAUAACCCAUUGUUUACAAAUGUAAAGUAUAAAAUAUUUAAACAUGACUACAUAGGAUUAAUUACACCCAGGAUAUAUUAUGAGCAGUGUGAUACAUGUAACAAGGAUUAAUUUAAGAAUGACCCUGGGUUAACAAUUUAAUUUAAGCAUGAAAAGCCCAUUACUCAAAGUUCCCUGUCCUUUCACUGUCCCAUGGUGUUAAAUAUGAUAUUUAACCUUUGCAGAGGGUUCUUGUACACGAAAUGUUGUCUUUUCUUGUGGCAAUUUAAAUAUAGAUGAGUCUUAGGUCUAUUUCCGACCUCUUCUGAGGCCAAAUGUUAUGGAAUUAUUGCUAUCUGGUAGCGAUCGUUUUUUAAAAUUUUUUAUGAAAUCCUUAUUAAUCCUAACUCUUACAUUUAUUAUCCUUUAAAUUCAUGGGUGUUUCGCUAAACAUUAUUACAUAUCUCGGGUCUUUAUAUCUGACACAAAUGGAUCUACAAAAUGCUCAGAUAGUGUCAAAUUGUAAUUUGAAAACAACAGAAUCAAAUAUAUUCAGAUAUAUAUAUUUUUUUUUAUGUUUUAAUUUUCAUGUAUCAAAGAGAUGAUGCAACAAAUUUAGAACAGGACUCAUUACUUCCACACUGAAAUUUCAUGAGACGCAACUGGCUGUCAAUCACAUAACAUAUAAACUACACAUUCUCAGGCACUUUUUGAGUCUAAAUAGAUGCACAACAACAACUUUCAGUAGUACACCAAAAUGACAAUAGCGAAAUCCUAUUGUUCAUGUGUUACACCUGCUAUAGUUUACUUCCACUUUGUUUCUUUGUCAAAUAGCAAUGUCAAAUGUAACUCAAGUCAAUCACUGAAACAUCAGCACCACCUUGAGUAAGAAACAGCAUAUAUAAUAUGUAUGUGUACACGCAUAUGGAAUACUGAUAAUUCACCAUUGUCACACAGAAAAUCAAUGUGAUAGUCGUCAUUUGUAUGAAUAUAGUACUCAUUUGUCUUGUAAUAAACAAAGAAAUAUAUAUCAGGGCUUCAGACUAAAAAAAUGACUUAGGAGCCAUUGGCUCCUAAACUGAAACAUUAAGGAGCCCAAUGGCUGUUUUUAGUCGCCAAAUCACAGAAUUGCUCGAUUUAGAUUGAUGUUCAGAAACAAGAUAGAAAGCCAAAGAAAAGGAAGACAGCUGAUAACCUAUUAAUCUGAGUUUUAAUAAACAGUAUAUAUAGUUGAAAAGAUAAGUUUGCAUUCCCUUUUGUCUCAUAAAUGUUCCAUCCUUUUCAUAAUUUAUACAAAUAUAAGAGAUACCUGUAAAAGAUUUUUUUUUUUUAUUUAGUGCUGCUCUUCAGAAUCUACAUUACAGAUAAUUAUAUAAAGUAUAGUAGGCAUAUAGUAGUCUGUUGCUUUCUAGAGCAUCAAUGAAUGUUUGCACUUUGUGUGAUAGUAGUGUACAAGUCUAUCAAGUGUCAAAAGCUUGAUCUCAUAUAUAUAUAUAUAAUUUACUGUUACCGGAUGGCCUAGAUACAGAGACUACAAGAAUGCAAAUUGAAUGAAAUCAGAUGCAGUUUAUUGUGCUACUCCAAUCCCAAUCAGUAAUUACCAGAAGGAAAAUACGGGACAUUUAAUUAUAAAGAAGCCUGAAAAACACAUGGGACUCUUAUUUUGAAAUGUCUUCGCUCCCAGUUGUGAGCUCACUGAUGGCGGAUUUGCUGAGAAAGUGAAUCUGAUUCAAACUGCUAACCUGAGCUCCUGAGUUCAAACCCUCGGUUCUUUUCGGGUGAUUCAUGAAAAAGAUACGGUUCAAAAGAGUAAUUUGUUCAUGACUAUCUCGCGCUGGGUUUGUUAUUGCAUGCAGCAAGCUCAUCACAACAGAACGGGUGAAAAGCGGCUCGAGACACACUGGUGGUGUGCGCUCUUAAGAUGUAUUCAAUAACUCACAAGAUGAUAUCUGAUGAAAACGCAAAUGAAAGCACACAACCCGACUGUCGCCGAUGGCUACUAGAUUUUAAAUUAUUGUCGCAAUCAAUUAAUUUUGGUCGCAUUUGCGACCAUUUUAGUCGCAGUUUUGAUGGUCUGUCCCUGACUGAAGCUGUUGCUGGAAAUAUCCCCGUUUUUACUGCGCAUUCAAAACAGUCAGCUAAGUGAAAAUACAUAGCAAGAAACCCCUAUUGAAGUCUACCAGCAACAAGGUUUACCGUGUGCUGUUUAUUGUGACCAACAGAGGGGGCUGCUCGCUAUAACAGCUUUAAGUCAUUCAACUUCCUUUACUGAUUACUUGUUUGCGCCAGUUUUGCCAUUAAGAACAGGACCAGGAAGUAAACGUUUGCAGGGUAAACUUUGACAGCGGUGAAUGGGAAUGAAUGGGGAGAUCACAGCACAUAUUCAUUUCAUUUACCCAUUUGCUCCAAAAAAUCCAAUAUUACGUUUGCAGAAUAAAAAAAAUAAAAUAAAAAAAUAGAGAGCAGUGGAAUAAGACAGUCAGAUGGGAGAAGAUGCCAAAUUUACUGUCACUCUCUCAGCAGCUGUAAUAGAAACCCCUUUGCAGCUGUGGUAAUUAUUUAUUUUUUAACUAAUUCCAGGGUAAUAUAACACAAAGCAUAAUGUUUACACUCAAUAUUUAAAAAAUGUAUAACAUAAAACUGUAGAGCCGAAGAGGGCAGGGCCGGGCUGGAAUGACGCACGCCUGGUCCCCAAUCAGCCUGAUGGGGCGCGGGAGGGAUAAAGGCGGCUGGGGAUGACAGUUCGAGAGAGAGAAUUACAGGCAGCUGUACUGUGUGUGUUUAUGGUUGUGUGUUUUUGUUUAAGUUGUUCAUUAAAUUAUUAUUUAAGUUGUCAAGCCGGUUCUCGCCUCCUCCUUUCCCUCGAACCCCCUUACACUGGUGCUGAAACCCAGGAAGGAGGAGGGAUUCCCGUCGCAGAGUCCUCGACACUGCCGACCACCCAGGGGAGUGCCACUGCCAUCCGACGGGGGACGGAGUAGCCUGACCACCCGGACGUGGGGAACGGCCGCCAUCCGCGAGGCGAUUGGGGACUGGACUCCCCGACCGCCUGGAGCGAGGGAGCCGCUGCCAGGGGCGGAGGAUUGCCCUGCCGUCCCCCGGGAAUGCGGAGGGGUCGAGAGAAGACCGCCGUCCGCGGGGGGAGGAGGGAAGCGACUCCCCGACCGCCUGGAGUGGUAGGGCCGCUGCCAGGGGCGGAGGAGUGUCCCCACAGGACGCCGGGAACGUGGAGGGGCGUUCUGUCCGCUGGGGGUCGGAGGUCUGACUCCGGUCCGCCCAGGGAGGAGCGGCUGCCGUCCGCCUGAGAGGGUGGAGGAGUGAUCGAGGACCACAUGACGGCGCAUCAGAGAACCGGUCGAGGAAGGUGGGGAUGACCCGCCGGCAGUCGGGGCGCAAGGCACGCCCCCCGGAGAGGAAGGGGGUAUGUACGUCAUGCCGGGGGCUCCCCGUCCAGAGGCAACGCCGGGAGGAGUGUAGAGCCAAGGAGGGCGGGGCUGGGCUGGAAUUACGCACGCCCGGUCCCCAAUCAGCCUGAUGGGGCGCGCGAGGGAUAAAGGCGGCCGGGGACGACAGUUCGAGAGAGAGAAUUACAGGCAGCUGUACUCCUGGGAAGGAGGAGGGAUGCGCCAUCAUAGAGUCCUCGCCACUACCAUCCACCCCAAAAGGAGCAGCCGCGGCCAUCCGCCGGGGGACGGAGGAGUUGCUACCGGCCGCCUGGAUGCGGAGGAAUGGCCGCCAUCCAUGAGGGGAGGAGGGGCUCACUGCCGGCCGCUUGGAGUGGUAGAGCCGCUACCAGGGGCGGAGGAGUUCGCUACCAGCCGCCGAAAUGUGGAGGGGCAUUCCGUCCGCCAGGUGUCGGAGGACUGGCACCGGUCUGUUGUCCGCCAGAGGGUGGAGGAGUGAAUGAGGACCAGGCAACGGUGUGUCUGAGAACUGGCGAGUAAGUUUUUUCCUCUCUCUCCCCUCUCUCUCUCACUGUCGCUCUGCGUUGGCCUUUCCCUCUCCUUUUUUUGUUGUUUUGUUUUUCCCUCCCCUUGUCUCCCUCCCAGGUCACAGAAGGCAGGGAAGGCCUGCCAGCAGGUGGGGCCAGAAGGAAGAAUUGGAAUCAUUACUUCCAAGGGCAUAGCCAGGAAAUUACUUUUGGGUGGGCCAAGUUUUCGCCCAACUUUUAUUUUUUACCAAAUUUUCCUUAACAACAGAGAAGAGACGCAUUCAAACAGUUCUUCACACUUUCAGAAAUCAGAAUUUAUGUAUUUUUUUAUUAUUUUAUAAAUAUAUAUUUGAAGUUAAAUAAUAUCUCUGAUAUUCUGGGUGGGCCUGGGUCUAAUUUGGGUGGACCCUUGGCUACGCCACUGAUUACUUCCAAUUCAGACAAGACAUUGAACUGAUUUGUACAUCAUUGCUGCCCGGCAGCUCUAUUAAGGGGCAGAGUUUAGAGGCAGGUUCUACAGCAGCAAUACAAGACAGAAAAAUAGAAGUUUUUAACAGGAUCAGUUCUCCCAGGAAAGAGAGUGAUUGGUUGUGGCAUGUUGCAGACUCUCAAGUAUGAGCUGGGAUCAGGUUUAUCCUGUCCGUCCACACACCUCCAAACCAUCUUUCCACAUCAAACACAAAACACAUUCCCACUCACACUCCUUGCCACCUGCCACCUCUGCACUACACUUUUUUUAAAGGACAUGCUGAAGUGGACAAGCUCUCAUUAACAUAUCAAUUGCAGUUUACUGUACAAAAAGUUGAAGUAAUACUCUGGGAUCUUAGGUGGAUAAACCUAAAGACUGCCUUUUUACAAAACAGAAACCAAGGUGUACCAAGUGUCUUUCACAAUGUUAAACUAGCUUCUCCUAUCACAGAUUAAAGGGAAAGUUCAUGCAAAUGAAUGCCAUAAUUUACUCACCCUCAUGUUGUUCCAAAUAUCCCCCCAUGACUUUCUUUAUUCCGUGAAACACAAAAGGGAAUUUUAGGUAGAAUGCCUCAGUCACCAUUCACUGCCAUAGUAUGGAAAAAAGAUACAAUGAAGUGAAUUGUGACUGAGACUAACAUACUGCCUAACAUAUCUUGUUGUGUUCCAAGAAAGAAAGAAAGAAAGUCAAAUGGGUUUGAUACAACAUAAGAGUGAGCAAAUGAUGACAGAAUUUUCAUUGUUGAGUGAACUAUCCCUUUAAAUGUAGACAACCAUAAGUAAACCAUUUGUAUGUUGUUUUCCCAAAAAAAGUGUAAACAUCGAGUUUUAUGUGACUUUCUUCCUAACGUGGGACACAAGGAGAUAUUGGGAAGAAUGUUAGCCUUAAUCACCAUUCACUUUCAUUGCAUCUUUUUUUUUUUUUUUUUUUUUUUUUUUUUGUACAAUUAAAGCAAAUGGUGACUAAGGUUGUAAAUUCGUAACAUUCUACCUUACAUCUCUUUUGAGUUCCACUUAAGAAACAAAUUCAUUGACUUGAAAGAUUUAACAGGCUGAAACUUUACAAAAUGUGAUGAUGCUAUUCAUUAAACAAGGUAUGGAUCAGUAUUCAUUCAUACCUUUCAAAUAUAGUCAGCCCACAACAAUAUCUCCAAAAGCUAAAGGUCUAUGUAACCAACUUAAACAGUAAACUUUUCUUUUUCCAAGACACCUGCACAUUCAGAUGAGGGACUCGUUAUCAGCAUGUACCAUCUCAAGGAAUCUGUCAGGGGAGGUAACGGAUGGGAAGGUACCACAGUGCACCUGGUACUGAAGCCCCGUCAAGAUAACAAAUCUCAAGGGGAGCCAAGAGUUGAAGCAGUUAGCUUUUGAGUGGGACCUUAGGGCAGCUAAUGUGCUUGUCUACUGCACAUAUUCAAAAAGCAGAACUGCAGAGAAACUCCCACAGUGCUGCCGGAUUUAGAUAGCAUAUCUCAAAUAAAUCAAUAUGUAUGUAAAAUAAAGCAACAACAUAUUUCUACAUUUAGGAUUUUUUUUUUUUAAUUUAUUUUUUUUUUAUAAAAUAUAAGCUUUAACUUGACCAAAUGGGACAUCCAAAUUGAAAUUUGUACAUCUGCUAACCAUUCUGUGACAAACAAUUGAUCUAUUUUUGUAAGUGAUUUUGUAAGUUUGUAGGUGAACUUGAUUAAUUUUGUUCCAUAUAUAGACUCAAUAUGAGAGGAACAGGAAAGCAGGUGACGUGAUACAAUUACUGUAAUGGUGGAGCACCUAGACUAUUUUAGUACUGUGUGUGCUCUGAUUCACAACAACUAUUACCUGAUCUUCUGCCUUUUUUUUUUUUCUUUUUUUUACAAUUGUCUCUCAAUGUCUCAAAUGCGCUUUUCCCUAUUCAAUAAGUCUAACAUAGGCAAUCCUGAGGAAAAUAACUUUAUAAUAAACUCUGCAUGCCAUACGAUUAGCGUAAUUUAUAAAGAACACAGGCGAACAUCACAUUUUCACAAUAAUAGGGUGGAGCAAUGUUUUUGAUUGAAGACAACAGACAGUUUCUAGGUUUUUCUGAGCUGAAUAAAGGAUGCUUAUACAUUCAGAAAUGUGACCAUUCAGAUGGUAAACAAAACAUGAAAACUUAACCUACUUGCA